AAAUGCAGUAUAAUGUAAUGAUGAAUUGCAAAAUUCANUGAAUCAUCGAAUCUUUGAACGCACCUUGCNCUCCUUGCGUAUUCCGAGGACGCAUGCCUGUUUGAGUGUCAUUAANAACAUACGUCAUCCACUCUUGUCUGGUAGUGAGAUCUGCGUAUAGUGUGUGUGGUUAUAGCAUAGAGACCGUUGUUUGGGGUUCAGACUCUCCUGAAAUGCAUUAGUGUGUAACAGACCUGUUCACUUCAUUGNUGUGAUAAACAGUCUAUCGCUAUUGAAUGUCAUGUGAGAUGGUUCGGCAUUUCUAACGGUCCUCGGACUAUAGUGUCAUCAUUUUAUGUAGACCUGCAUAAUCAAGUGAGGACUACCCGCUGAACGUUAGAGCAUAUCAAUAAGCGGAGGAAAAUGAAACUAACNAGGAUUCCCCUANUAACUGCGAGUGAAGCGGGAAAAGCUCAAAUUUAAAAUCUGGCAGUCUUUGGCUGUCCGAGUUGUAAUCUAGAGAAGUGCUAUCCGCGCUGGAC
rnacentral:rRNA from 1 species